CUAGAGAUAGAGUCUUCCCCUUCGGGGGACAAAGUGACAGGUGGUGCAUGGUUGUCGUCAGCUCGUGUCGUGAGAUGUUGGGUUAAGUCCCGCAACGAGCGCAACCCUUAAGCUUAGUUGCCAGCAUUAAGUUGGGCACUCUAAGUUGACUGCCGGUGACAAACCGGAGGAAGGUGGGGAUGACGUCAAAUCAUCAUGCCCCUUAUGAUUUGGGCUACACACGUGCUACAAUGGACAAUACAAAGGGCAGCUAAACCGCGAGGUCAUGCAAAUCCCAUAAAGUUGUUCUCAGUUCGGAUUGUAGUCUGCAACCCGACUACAUGAAGCUGGAAUCGCUAGUAAUCGUAGAUCAGCAUGCUACGGUGAAUACGUUCCCGGGUCUUGUACACACCGCCCGUCACACCACGAGAGUCUGUAACACCCGAAGCCGGUGGAGUAACCAUUUAUGGAGCUAGCCGUCGAAGGUGGGACAAAUGAUUGGGGUGAAGUCGUAACAAGGUAGCCGUAUCGGA
rnacentral:rRNA from 1 species